CAAUAGCGUAUAUUAAAGUUGUUGCAGUUAAAAAGCUCGUAGUUGGAUUUCUGGCAGGAGCGACCGGUCACACACUCUGUGUGUGAACUUGCGUUGUCUCUGGCCAUCCUUGGGAAGAUCCUGUUUGGCAUUAAGUUGUCGGGCAGGGGAUACCCAUCGUUUACUGUGAAAAAAUUAGAGUGUUUAAAGCAGGCUUAUGCCGUUGAAUAUAUUAGCAUGGAAUAAUAAGAUAGGACUUCGGAACUAUUUUGUUGGUUUGCGUUACGAAGUAAUGAUUAAUAGGGACAGUUGGGGGUAUUCGUAUUUCGUUGUCAGAGGUGAAAUUCUUGGAUUUCCGAAAGACGAACUACUGCGAAANCANNNACCAAGGAUGUUUUCAUNAA
rnacentral:rRNA from 1 species